rnacentral:misc_RNA from 1 species
GCUUCCUGCAAAACAUUUAAUUUAGAUUAAAAGAUGGCAAUAAUCAAGAGUCAGAAUAAUAAUUAUAAAAGGAGUUUCAGCAUACCAUGAAACAUAUUUUGCAGUCAUCUAUAACCUCAUUUACAAUCACACCUUACCAUUGUCAAUUUAUUUUAUACAAUCAAGCAGAUGGAAAAGCACAUAUAUGAUCCAUUUGCACAUGUAAAUACUACCAGAACGGUACCACAAACCAUCACUAGGUACUAACAAACAAAUAAAUUCACCACAAUGAAG